AGUGAACGCUGGCGGUAGGCCUAACACAUGCAAGUCGAACGGCAGCACAGUAAUAGCUUGCUCUUACGGGUGGCGAGUGGCGGACGGGUGAGGAAUACAUCGGAAUCUACUUUUUCGUGGGGGAUAACGUAGGGAAACUUACGCUAAUACCGCAUACGACCUACGGGUGAAAGCAGGGGAUCUUCGGACCUUGCGCGAUUGAAUGAGCCGAUGUCGGAUUGGCUAGUUGGCGGGGUAAAGGCCCACCAAGGCGACGUGCCGUAGCUGGUCUGAGAGGAUGAUCAGCCACACUGGAGCUGAGACACGGUCCAGACUCCUACGGGAGGCAGCAGUGGGGAAUAUUGGACAAUGGGCGCAAGCCUGAUCCAGCCAUACCGCGUAGGUGAAGAAGGCCUUCGGGUUGUAAAGCCCUUUUGUUGGGAAAGAAAAGCAGCAGGUUAAUACCCCGCUGUUCUGACGGUACCCAAAGAAUAAGCACCGGCUAACUUCGUG
rnacentral:rRNA from 1 species